ensembl:lincRNA
GGGUGGGGUGACAGGAUGUCUCCUGAGCACGCUGACAGUCUUUACUGCUGAGUCAGCAGACCCUCUGGAAAAUGACAGACUCCACAUUCCCCGGGCUGAGCAGGGAAACAGAGAACACGUUUCUGGAGAAAUUAGCACAUGUCGUUUGACACCUGAUGAUGCAACUUCCUGGAGCCUGGAGACACCUCCUAGCAGCCAGAGGAGCUGCGUGGACUGCUGGACCAAAACAAGAAAAGAAAGAAAAUACCCGUGAGAUCCACAGCAGGCCCCCCGCCAAGCACUGGUGCUUGAGCUUCAAAGGAGAGGUUCCUGCCUCUCCAAGUGUGGAGGGGUGGGAAUCUGGGCACCUCCCAGGGCCUGGCAUGCGCAAGCGUCAGCAUGGAGGAGAAGCAGGUGGGUGUGCAUAUCCCACCCUCCACUUCGUGGCCCCCAUGCUGGCUGGAAUCCGCCAUCCCUUUCUGAGAAGCAGUUCCCACAUCUGCAUAGAGCUGAUACCAUAACCUCCUCCUGGGAAAGGGAUCUGGGGAAGGAGAUCAGGGCUGGUCUUUGUCAAACACCCUGUGACAAUGACAUUCUUGUCCUCUCUCCAAUUAAGACUUCUUUUUUUUUUAAGUUUUUAUUUUUUUUUAUUGUGCUUUAGGUUCUGGGGUACAUGUGGAGAUCAUGCAGGAUUGUUUCAUAGGUACACAUAUGCCGUUGUGGUUUGCUGCAUCCAUCUACCCAACACCUACAUCAGGCAUUUCUCCCAGUGUUAUCCCUCUCCACCCCACUCUUCCCCCCUAGUCUGCCACCCCUCAACCUACCCCACUGUGUGAUGCUCCCCUCCCUGUGUCCACAUGUUCUCAUUGUUCAACACUUGCCUGUGAAUGAGAACAUGCAGUGUUUUUGUGUCCGUUUGCUGAGAAUGAUGCUUUCCCAGAUUCAUCCAUGCUCCUACAAAGGACACAUACUCAUCAGUUUUUGUGGCUGCAUAGUAUUCCAUGGUGUAUAUGUGCCACAUUUUAUUUGUCCAGUCUAUCAGCGAUGGGUUGGUUCCAGGUCUUUGCUAUGUAAGCGGUGCUGCAAUGAACAUUCGUGUGCAUGUAUCUUUAUAAUAGAACUAUUUAUAAUCCUUUGUGUAUAUACUCAGUAACGGGAUUGCUGGGUCGAAUGGAAUUUCUAUGUCUAGGUCCUUGAGGAAUCGCCACACUGUCUUCCACAAUGGUUGAACUAAUUUACGCCCCCAGCUACAGUGUAAAAGUGUUCCUAUUUCUCCACAUCCUCUCCAGCGUCUGUGUCUUCAGGACUUUCAGCUGGAUUCUGGAGCUCUGGACCAGUUUGUGAGAGUCACGUGCGGGUGCUGACGGCACCUGCACAUUCCCAGGCCUGGUGCACACCUUUGACAGCAAGACAUUCUAGCCUAUGCCCUCGUGCACGUCUGCAGGUGUGUACCCGUCACAUGCACCCAUUUUGGAUGUCCCUGAGGCUGCACCACACAUAGAGAAACAUUUUAAAGCUAUCAAGUGAAAAUAAAUACAGGCUGGGCGCUGAGGCUCAUGCCUGUAAUCCCAGCACCCUGGGAGGCUGAGGCAGGUCGAUCAGGGAGUCAAGAGAUCAAGACCAUCCUGGCCAACGUGGUGAAACC